rnacentral:rRNA from 1 species
CGUAGGGUGCAAGCGUUGCCCGGAUUUAUUGGGCGUAAAGGGCGCGUAGGCGGCCAGGAACGUCACGCGUGAAAUCUCCCGGCUCAACUGGGAGGGGUCGCGUGAUACGGCCUGGCUAGAGCAAGGUAGGGGGAAGUGGAAUUCCCGGUGUAGUGGUGGAAUGCGUAGAUAUCGGGAGGAACACCAGUGGCGAAGGCGGCUUCCUGGACCUUUGCUGACGCUAAGGCGCGAAAGCGUGGGUAGCGAUCCGGAUUAGAUACCCGGGUAGUCCACGCCGUAAACGAUGAGUACUAGGUGUCGGGGGUAUCGACCCCCUCGGCGCCGGAGCUAACGCAUUAAGUACUCCGCCUGGGGACUACGGCCGCAAGGCUA